CUGGUUCAAGGGAUAGUUGAGUGAAAGAUACAACAUGCGUUUUGCUUUAAGCUGCUUCGUUCUUACCUUGUUGCUUGAUCAUGUGAGAGGCAAAGAGCACCACACAAGGAACAAAAGAUCCACGUUGAUUCCCAAGCUAGAGAUAACGACAUCUCACAUCAACGUUACUUCU